ensembl:snRNA U6 U6 spliceosomal RNA
AUUUUGAGUGCUAGCUUAGAGGAAAUGUAUACUAAAAUUGGAACGGGGCAGAGAAGAUAAGCAUGGCCCCUGUGCAAGGACAGCGUGCAAAUUCAUGAAGUGUUCUGUAUUUUA